rnacentral:rRNA from 1 species
AGCUCUGUAAGCGUAUACCAAAGUUGUUGCAGUUAAAACGCUCGUAGUCGGACGUUGGCGGGCGCGGCAAGGCGUCCUCACGGGCGUUCUUGUUGCGGCCGCCUUUGUGGAGGGGGGCCUGGUGGUGCUUCAUUGCCUCUCCAGGUCGCUGCCACCAUUUACUGUGAAAAAAUUAGAGUGUUCAAAGCGGGCGUUUGCCAUGAAUACAUUAGCAUGGAAUAAUAGAAUAGGACCUGGUCCUGUUUUGUUGGUUUGUGAGUAUCAGGUAAUGAUUAAGAGGGACGGUUGGGGGCAUUUGUAUUCCAGCGCUAGAGGUGAAAUUCUUGGAUUGCUGGAAGACAAACAGCUGCGAAAGCGUCUGCCAAGGACGUUUUCA